GACGAACGCUGGCGGCGUGCUUAACACAUGCAAGUCGAACGGAAAGGCCCUGCUUUUGUGGGGUGCUCGAGUGGCGAACGCGUGUGUAACACGUGAGUAACCUGCCCUUGACUGUGGGAUAACUUCAGGAAACUGGGGCUAAUACCGGAUAGGAGCUCCUGCUGCAUGGUGGUGGUUGGUAAGUUUCGGCGGUUGGGGAUGGUCUCGCGGCUUAUCAGCUUGUUGGUGGGGUAGUGGCUUACCAAGGCUGUGACGGGUAGCCGGCCUGAGAGGGUGACCGGCCACAUGGGUACUGAGAGACGGCGCAGACUCCUACGUGAGGCAGCAGUGGGGAAUAUUGCACAACGGGCGGAAGCCUGAUGCAGCAACGCCGCGUGCGGGAUGACGGCCUUCGGGUUGUAAACCGCUUUCGCCUGUGACGAAGCGUGAGUGACGGUACUGGGUAAAGAAGCACCGGCUAACUACGUG
rnacentral:rRNA from 1 species